rnacentral:ncRNA from 2 species
CUCUUAUCGAGAGCGGUUGAGGGACAGGCCCAAUGAAACCCGGCAACCAGGCUGUGCCAUGGUGCUAACUCCUGAUAGAUGAGAG